GCAAAACCAGGCUAGGAGGUAACAGCUGACUGGAAGUUGUACUGCCACAUUUGGGAGGAAUAUCAAGAAGAUUCGGGGCAGACAAAAAGGAAGGGCUUCUUCACACAGUGCACAGUCAAACUGUGGAGUUCAUCCCACAAGGAGCAGUGAUGGCCACCAGCUUGGAUGGUUUCAAAUGAGGAUUUCACAGAUUCAUGGAGGCAGCCAAUCAGGUGCCUCCAGGAUGAUAGGGCACAAGGAACAAUAUCCCUGUCCUGCUGUUGUUUCCCAUCACAGCAGUCAUGUGAGUUUUAAAGCCACCAAUCAUCAUCAAUGGAAGAAUGCAACUACAGGCCUGACAAGGAAGAAGCUCUCCACAGCCGCGUAAUAUUCAAUUUACGGUCAAGGCUGCUGACUUUGGAAGCAAAAGGAGGAUAAGAGCAGGAAUUGAUUUCCUACCUCAAAGUCAACUUGGCUUCAAAAUGAUAGAGCCUGAGACUGGGAAAGUUUGCAAGUAACUUAUGUAUUUGUAGGGGGUCAUUUAACGGCAUUUAUAUAUAUACUAAUUUGGAUAUGAAUGAACUUGUGGUGGGCUAUACUUGGUGGACGCCUAUGACUUCCAUGUGCUUCAAGGUGCUGUUUGCAAGGAGCCUAUGAACACACACCAUCCACAAUUUUCUAAGGCAGGGGUUGCCAGCAUGGUAUUUUGGACUAUAACUUCCAUCAUCUCUGGCUAUUUGCCCUGCUAGCUGAGGCUGAUGAAAAUUGUAGCUCACAACAUCAGGAGGUCACCAUGUUGGACCAUUGACCAUGCUGCCUGGGGCUAAUGAGACUGUAGUCCACAACACCUGCACACACCCUUCUCUAUUCUCCACCCAAGCAAGCAAGCAAGAAGCAUUAUCACAGUUCAAGGGCUCAGUCCAACUGGACAAAAUCACUUCAGGGGGCUGGAAAGCAGGGUCAGUAAGAGGUACAGCUGGGAAAGUGGUGUUGCCUGGGGAGAAUCCACUUUAGGCCACUGAACCUGAGAUUCCCCACUCCUGCUGUCGAGACUUUUCUUUCCCACAAGGUCUGGGACCUUAAUAUGAUUGUCCACAUGUCUUCAGUGUCUUGGAUUUUGAGGAGGUUUGCACUGGGUUUACUCAGAAAAAAAGCCCCACGUGAGACUACCAAGCAAGGUGGCCGUGGACUACCAUCCUGAGAUGUAACUAAAUUGUCCCAUUGAUUCCAACAG